AAUAGAUACCCAGGUAGUCCACGCCGUAAACGGUGGGCACUAGGUGUGGGCGGCAUUCCACGUCGUCCGUGCCGUAGCUAACGCAUUAAGUGCCCCGCCUGGGGAGUACGGCCGCAAGGCUAAAACUCAAAGGAAUUGACGGGGGGCCCGCACAAGCGGCGGAGCAUGUGGCUUAAUUCGACGCAACGCGAAGAACCUUACCAAGGCUUGACAUACACCGGAAACAUCCAGAGAUGGGUGCCCCCUUGUGGUCGGUGUACAGGUGGUGCAUGGCUGUCGUCAGCUCGUGUCGUGAGAUGUUGGGUUAAGUCCCGCAACGAGCGCAACCCUUGUCCCGUGUUGCCAGCAGGCCCUUGUGGUGCUGGGGACUCACGGGAGACCGCCGGGGUCAACUCGGAGGAAGGUGGGGACGACGUCAAGUCAUCAUGCCCCUUAUGUCUUGGGCUGCACACGUGCUACAAUGGCCGGUACAAAGAGCUGCGAUGCCGUGAGGCGGAGCGAAUCUCAAAAAGCCGGUCUCAGUUCGGAUUGGGGU
rnacentral:rRNA from 1 species